GGACAAUAGAUGAUUGCUCACUCUUAAAUCACAAUCACCAACCACUACAUAUAUGAUUGUGAUAGAGUUCGAUCAAUACUGCACAAGACUUGGCAUCUUCGUCGAAACAAUUUUGAAAUCCAUCGCAUUAAUUGGAGAUACCAUUCAGCAAGCUGAGAAAGUGAAGAAUGCAUGACAUCAUGAGAUACACAUAGAUGUUCCCAGAGCGAGGAGGCGGAAUGUAAGUCAAGUUUAGAUCCAUUCUAAGAGAAAACAAGUUGAUGAAAG
rnacentral:misc_RNA from 1 species